CUGGAUUUGUAGUAGUAUUUAUUUUAAAAACAUAUGCCUUUAUCAUACAUAAUAAAUUAUAAAUCUAUGAUAUUCAUAAUGACAGGAAAAAAGGACACACAUAAAUACAAACAAAUGACCUGAUGAGAAAAACACAUGAUAGAGAACAACCAAAGCCACCAUCAGAUAUCAAACACCGAAGGAUGGGAAACAUUUGAAGUGUCUGAUUCAAAAUCUGCGUUUUAAAAUGGCUAAUAUCAUCUAAAGCGGGGAAGGUGAACGUAUGGCCCGGGGGCCAGAGAAGGCCCCUCGUAUGGCUUUGGAAAAUGUGAAAUCUUCACAAGGGCAUAAACUUUGGACUCUCUUAUUAUUGUUAGAUUCCAUCACAUAACAGAAAACCUUUUUUCCAUGCUUCCUUAUAGAAAUUAAAACAUAUCGUAAGUUAACAGAAAAUGUCUGUUUUUUUUAAUUAAAUGAUAAGUAGAUAACUGGGAGGUAAUGAACUGCCAGUGGUUUUCCUGUAAUUUACACCUUUAUUUUUUCAACUGUAAGCCUAUAUGUUAUUAGUCGAUAGUUUUACUGGUCUGACCUAAUUGAUAUCAAAUUGAGCUAUAUGUGGCCCAAAAUGUAAAAUGGGUUUGAUACCCCUGAUCUAAAGUAUAUCUGAGCUGAUGCGACGCGUGAAUGCUCUGAUGCAAAACACGCCUCAUAAUAGUUUCCUCCGACUUAACACGGUCAAAGUUAACAACAGGAGAUAACAAGGAGUAAAGCACACACUGGAUAAGCCUCAAACCAUCGUUAAAACUUAAAAACCAACAAGUUAGUAUGACCCCACAUCUGGCAGCAGUCAGCACUCAUGUAAACAGGCAACAUUUAUGUACGACAGGUCAGUCAUUAGACUUGAGUGGAAAACUUUGGAUAAAGAAAGUUUUACACCAACAUUUUAGUCAGUUGCGGUUGCUGACUUGUGAAUUCAAAGAUGUACCUUCAUUUAACACAAAUGAAAGCCCAGUGUCUACACAGAACAUGUCAGGCUACCUCUGUUUAUUAUCUGUGAGCUUGUCAAAAAAACCCCAAAAACAACAAAUAAAAAUUUGUUUCAGAAUCUUUCCCCUCAUAAUUCAUAAUAAAAUCUGAAUCAGCUUGUCCUGUUUAACAAAAAAAAUAAAAAUACUGAGUACUGCCCAUCACUAGUAUCCUGCUACAAGUUGCCAGUGUAUAGUUGCUUCAAAUGAUAAUGAUGCAGUGGAGCACGAAGCAGAUGCUGAAUAUGAUAUCUAUUAUAAUAUACACGUAAUAUCUCUUCAUAAUGAAAUACUCUGAUAUUUUGUUUGAGAAAACAUGCGUCAAACUAUUUACAGAAACACUGUACAGGUACAGGGAUGCUUUAGGGGAGAGGAGGAGAGAAAAAGGGGGAUGUAAAAGUGUGUGUGUAUUUCCUGCAAUAUCAUAUCAAUAUUAAGGUGUUGCCCUGGGACCAUCACUGUUACUGAUUAGUCAUGCUUUUUAAUAGAGAAAUAACAUCGUUAAAGACUCUGUUUUAGGAAAAGAUCCAUGUUUCUGCUAAUUUUAAUAAAAUACGGUAUUUUUCCCCUUUCUCAAAACACAUUUUUACAAUGAAAAUGUAACAGGUCAUGGAAGUACAAAUAUUUCCAUGUUUGCUUUUGCUUGAAAGAAACAAAUUAAGUGUUUCUCAUCCACUCAUUUCCUGCUGAAGGCCAUGAGAGCAGCAGUGUAAGCAGAGAUGCCUAGACCUCCCUGUUCCCAGCAUCCACAGUUUUUAAUGGUCCAGCUGAGAGAUGCAAUCUCAACAGCUUGUCUGACAACAGCCCAUAGGACAUGCAUCAAACACCUCAACAUGGAGGAGCAGUGUUUCUACUGACUGAGAUCCUUACUCUAUCUCUAACAGACCCCAUACACUACAGCUGGGGAUUGUUCGUCCACUAAUUCUUUAGUUCAACACCCGCAGCUUGUGGCCACAGGUGAGGACAGGUAGAUUAAUCUGCUUCAGUCUCAGCUGAGAGCGGGUAAUUCACCCUUUUACAGCCUGGGGUCUGAUCUGAGGGUGCCAAUUCUCAUCCCAUCCACUUCAACACUCAGAUUUGAGCCAUUCAUCCACCACAACCUCAUCUUUUUUUCCUCCUGUGACAUCAAACCCAUGACAUCACAUCCUAUGCAUAAUUAUUCAGUUGCAAUGAUGGUCUGGAUAUUUUAAGAAGAAUACAAACAGUGAUAUCAGGUGAAGAAAGGGAGUGGAGGUGGCACACAAGAAGUGCAAACUGCACAGCUACACAGGAUACUGUUAGUGGUGUGUUUGCAAAUGCAAGCAUGGAGUUAGCAGAUAAUUAGAGCAAGAGAAGCAGAAGACCUGUGGAAGGGAAGGGACUUAAAUUAGCAUGUGGUCGAAGGAAUAUUUCCACAAGACGAGAAAUUUUUUUUUCUGAGAAAAUCAGUGCACUAAGUAUCAAACUGGAGCCAGGGGGCAGUUAGUUUAGCUCAAUCUAAAGGUCUGUGGAGCUUGCUCCAAAAAUCUGUAUUUAGUAUGUCUGUUUAAGUAGCUGGAGGGUCGACUGGGAAAUCUAAAAUGUGGUAAUCUGGGUUGGCAGGUGUGUGGACGAGAGAAGUGUUGGGGGUGGUCUUGGUUGGAGGGACAGUUUGGUCCAAUAGAAGAGCAGACUGUUGGCUGAUCUCUGGUUACCUUGGAGAUCUUUAAGUUCUGGGAGGGGGCGUGACAGGGAAGUCUUUUGAGCUAUCUGCAUGGCAACAAGGUUCUGAGGGGUCCGUGCAAAGGUUAGGGGUCAAAGGUCGGGGAGAAGUCACCAGCGUAGCGAUCUGAACCCCACGUUAUCAGGUCUCACAUGGCUGUUUUUCUCCUGGUCUUCACAAACCUGCAUAUAAAACACACAGAUGUUGCAGAAAUAUACAAAAGCUUAUCAAUAUCAGGCUGUCCACCCAGUAAUUAACAAAUUUCCCUCUUGUGGGACUAAUAAAGGUUAAUAAAGGUUAUCUUAAUCAUCUCUCAUCAUUAUGAAGCAAGAAAGAAUUACAGAGCUUUGACCAACUAGCUAUUACAAAAAAAAUUGAAUCUGCCACUGAAAAAAAAAACCAUUACGUCUAAAUUGAAUUAAGGUUAUUCUCUCAAAUUAUUUUUUGACUCAUUGUAAAACACCAGCAGUUCCAGAAAAAGAGGCUCCAGUAACUUUAAAGACCCAGCAGAGCAGAACCACAAGACUCAGUGAUCGUUUCUCCCUGGAGUCUCUUCAGCUCUGGUGAUCCUCAGCUACAAUCCACCGCACACAAUCUGACACUUGGAAACUGACUUGUCAUUUACACUGUAAAUAUACUUCUUGCUCUUGUUUCUGUCGCUCUUGAUGUGUUUUAUCCUCAUUGGCCUGAACAGGGACCAAAAAUAAAAACUGUAAUUCCACUUCAUGUAAAUACAUGUGCUGGAAUGAGAAUUAAAAAAAAAAAAAAAAACAAGAAAACUUGAAUCAUUAAACAUUUCCACUUACUCGAGAGUCAUAGAUGAGAUCAUCACAAUUAAUCAAGCUAUUUUAAAUAUCUUCCGCUGGUCUGGUUUUUAGCGCCCUGAGGAGUGCUUACUGGACUUCAUGUAGGAAUCAGCAAAACUGCUUCAUAGUGUUCUGAUGCUAAUAAUAAUAAUAAUAACAACAACAAUAACAAUAACAACAACAACAACAAUAAUAAUAAUAUCUAGGCAAAAGCAAUAAUCUGACAUGUAAACAGGGAAAACUGUCAGACUGCAGCUGGAACUGUGGUGUAAUGACUUUCUAUCAGCGAUCAGGCAUCAGUGCAGCCAAAGUCUGGUGCAAAUAGUUAUGGACACCAGAAUUUCUACGUUCAUCUUAUUGUGUAAUAUGUAGGUAAUAACAUACAUCCACCUUUUACUUUAUGCCACUAUUUAAUGAUUACAGCCUUCAUGAUUACUGUCUUGGACAAUCAUAAUGAAGGCUUCCUUUCAAAUGAUGGGUGGAUCAAGUGCGCAGAAGCAAAAAUGGGCACUGACUAAAUAUAGAAUUACUGAGUCUGCACAUCUGAGAGACACUGCGGGGAGCAGAAGGCAUAAUUUCAGCUUCUAAACACAGGUUCUCCUUAUUUGAAAGCCCUCAGACACCUUUUCAUUUUAAUGCUGUGUAGACAGUACAGACUCAGG
ensembl:lncRNA